rnacentral:rRNA from 1 species
UACAGAGGUCUCAAGCGUUGUUCGGAUUCAUUGGGCGUAAAGGGUGCGUAGGCGGCGCGGUAAGUCGGGUGUGAAAUCUUGGAGCUUAACUCCGAAACUGCAUUCGAUACUGCCGUGCUUGAGGACUGGAGAGGAGACUGGAAUUUACGGUGUAGCGGUGAAAUGCGCAGAUAUCAGGAAGAACACCCGUGGCGAAGGCGGCUCUCUGGAACGCAACUGACGCUGAGACGCGAAAGCGUGGGGAGCAAACAGG